GAGGAAGUAAAAGUCGUAACCAAGGUUUCCGUAGGUGAACCUGCGGAAGGAUCAUUAAUUUGAAGGAACAUGUUUCUCGGCAUGAUAAUUCAAAACCCCACCUGCGUAUUUUACCUGUUGCUUCCGUGCUGCACAUGCCGCAGAGGCGUGCCUCCUGCCGGAUCCUCCUGGGGUACGGAGUAGCCUCCGGGCCCUGGGGGAGGAGGGAGUCGGCACGGGAGGUUAACCAUAAACUCUUGCCUUUGAAUGUCUUCUGUCUGAACUGUAGAAAAUUAAACAGUUAAAACUUUCAACAACGGAUCUCUUGGUUCUCGCAUCGAUGAAGAACGCAGCGAAAUGCGAUAAGUAGUGUGAAUUGCAGAAUUCCGUGAAUCAUCGAAUCUUUGAACGCACAUUGCGCCUCCUGGUAUUCCGGGAGGCAUGCCUGUUCGAGCGUCACCAAAAUCAACUCAAGCACUUUUGCAUGGUCAUGGAGGAAGAGUCCGUCUUGUUGGGCGCUCUCCCCUCCSAAAAUCAACGGCGGAAAGUCACUGGCAACGCGGCGUAGUAGUAUCAUUCGCUGGUGGUCCGUAGUCGUUCCUGCCGUCAAACCCCCCACAAUUCUCUUGAUUGACCUCGGAUCAGGUAGGGAUACCCGCUGAACUUAAGCAUAUC
rnacentral:rRNA from 1 species